rnacentral:rRNA from 16 species
AAUUACUGGGCGUAAAGGGAGCGUAGGUGGCUCGAUAAGUCAGAUGUGAAAUCCCCGGGCUCAACCUGGGAACUGCAUUUGUGACUGUAUAGCUAGAGUACGGCAGAGGGGGAUGGAAUUCCGCGUGUAGCAGUGAAAUGCGUAGAUAUGCGGAGGAACACCGAUGGCGAAGGCAGCCCCCUGGGUCAAGAUUGACGCUCAUGCACGAAAGCGUGGUGAGCAAACAGGAUUAGAU